rnacentral:lncRNA from 1 species
AAAAAUAUAUCGUCUUAGUGUUGAAACUUUAAAAAUGACGUAAGUAUGAUUGUGUGACAGAUCAGGUAGAAAAUCAAAUUAUAGAGGAAACUAUAUAUUACGAGGCUCUUUUGGUUGCUGGAAGUCACAAAGCUAAAAAUCUUCGAUCUAACUAAGAUGACAGUUAAGUCGAAGUAACCAAGAAUCUAGUGUAAUCAAUUUUAUUCUUGAUUUAAGCUUAAAUCUUCUUGGUGGCAUAUUAAAAAAUAGUUUUGCUAGAGUCAAGUCACUUUUUCCAGAGUACAUUCAUAGCAAGUUGCACCAUUGGUGUCAUCCAUUAAAGCCACGUAAUUAAGAAUAUGUUCCGCAGUUCUUAUUUUGCCCAUCACUAGACGUUUCAUUGCGUGUGUCCUGAGUAGGCACUCUAAUUCCGUGUGCACAACGUUACCGGCAGGAUUUUCAAAUCGCAUGAUUUUCCACCUUUAAAAAGGUACAUGCGAGCAGAUUUAGUAGCGAGUACUUUUCCUCAACUGUCACUAUCUUGCUCUCCAGGAAAAAAUUAAGCGUCACGCAAGUCAAUUCGCAUGCAAUGUCGAUGGUAAAAGCUCAAAAUUGCGUCUGAAUUUUUUUAAAGCCUUUUAGUGAGUCUCCAUGACGUGACCUUUUACCUUGAUUCGGCUUAAGAGAUUUCAGUUUUCAAAACGAACCUCAGUUGAGUCCCCGAGAUACUGAGUGGAUGCACUGCAGUCUGACUUUCAAGUUUUCAGACAUGGGUUUCAGGCAUAAACCACUUCUUCUCCUAUUUCUAGCCGCCAUAUUUCAGGUGCAGUUUUCUCCGUGUACCUCCGAUUCAACUCAAAAAGAUGUUCAGCUAGCCGAACCGGUGGCGAAUCAACUACCAACGCAGGAGGCUCCCGACAAAAAAUCAGAGAUUUCAGCAAAGAUAAAAGCAAAACUGGCAGAGAUGGAAUCCUUGAGGAAGGAGAAGGAAGAGCUUCAGAAAAAGCAGCAUGAGGAGAUCCGCGCCAAAGCAGACGAGCUGAAGACAGAGUUCCAGGCUGAAGAGAAACUACAGAAAGAGGAGAGAGUCAAGAUCAAUGAAAUCCAGAAAAAAGCUCUGGAGGGUUACAGAAAAAUUGAUCGUGAAAUUUUAGAGCUUAUCAGGGAAGUCAGACGUAACAGACGUGAUGCGGAAAAGAAGGCAGACCUGGAAAAACAGCUUGCGCAAAAGCGGGAGGAACGUACUGCGCUGGAAAAUGAGACUAAAAAAAGUAGGAUCGCUAUUAUGGAUCAGAGGAAAGUCCGAGUUGACGCUCUGCAAAAGAAAUCUGAUGAGAUGAUGGCCGAGAAAAGAAAGUUGGAAGAGGACACCCGCAAGGAAGUCCGUGAGAUUGAGGGAGAACUAAAAACCGUGCAGGAAGAGUUAACGCAACUGCGAAAAGAUUUGAGGAGAGCAAAUUGGGGAUUCUGAGGACAAUAGUUUUGAAUCACCUCGAGUUUCAAAAAACCAAAUAUCGGCUGUGAAACUACCAAACCACGUAUCUCGGUUUGCGAUGUUGUAGAAUUCCUGUCAUAAUUAAUUUUUUAAAUGGAGACCUACAGCGUCACUUCUUAGAAACUUCCGUGUUUUUUCCUUUUAAUGCGAAAAAAAACUCUAUGAACAUUUCAAGAAAUGAUAUUGAUUUAAUCUACCUCAAAAAAUAAAAAUAAAAUGAGAGCGGAGAUUCUUAAACACCGCAAACGAGAUACGUGGUCUGGUAGUUUCGUCAUCGAUAUGUUUUUGAUCCUGCGGAGGUCUAUAGAAACGGCUUUUGACUAUUUCAUUUUUUUCUCCUCUAAAAAUAUAAUCAUAGUGUUUUGUUCGUGAAGCAUUGUUGUACGUGGAGUUUCUAGAAUAGUGGAAUGUUAUUUCUGAUUUGCUCGAGUUUCAUAUUAUGUUAUGUUUUUUGUCUCAAAAGAGUUUUGAAAACUGACAUGCAACUAUUCUAGAAUUUUCCGUUCUAUUCUUUCUAUAAAAUAUGAAAAUAGUAUUUGCUCCUUGAGUAUUAUUCGAACAAGGUAAUUAAUCGCUUCAGCAACCGUUUCUCUGUAUUUAUAGAAAUAAGUUGCCUACAAACUGUGUUUGAUGCUUUUCUUUUUUAAAAUAUACCAAGCAAAAUCAAAUGUACUUGAAACCACAUUUGCUCUUUUUCUUAUUUUGUCAUGAGGUGAUAAAAAAUAUUUUUUUUCACGUCUUUGGUAAUGGAAUUAUCUAAUUUCUAUCUAAAAGUAUUGCUGCACUUUCUUUGUUAUUCUUCUUUCUUUUAGAAAAAAAAUUUAUGACAAAAAUUAAAAAGCAGAAAAGCAAUUAUUCCUUUAGGGAACAUACAUAUCUACGCAAUUAAGUAUUUUUUUAAAGUUUGUGUUUGAUGUUUUAAUGUCUCCAUGCUAUUUUGCAUUUGAAAUUGUCUAUAUAACCAUGCUAAAAAUUUUAAAAAGGAAGUAAUCCAUGGUCUGGAAAUUGCUGAAGGAUUCCAUAGUAUUGGCAAACUUUCAGAAAAUUCAUGAAUCGAAAAUUAAGAAACACAUAGAAUUUUGUUUUGAUUGUUUUAUUCGGACUAAAUUUUGAUUACAAAGAAUGUAAUUAUGUGGAUCCAAAGAGAGAUAUAGAAUUCAGGAGCACUUCAUUCUAUUAACCAGGAAUCUUUCCAUCUGCUGAAACACAAGAAAAUACGUUUAUUAGUAUUAAAAUUCGAACAGCUUUCAGAUCUACAAAAAUUGCUAGCACAAAGUGGGAAUGAAAUUUCAAGUAUCAAGUAUUGGAAUAAGCAAGUGUUCUGCUCGCCUUGGUAAUGCAAAAGGUAAUGGUGGUUCUAAUUCCGAUAAAUUCAAAUUAAAAAGCGAAACAAAUGUAUGCAAGAUUUGACAUUCAAGUGUAUUUUCAAAAUUUUUAGAUGCAUUUUUAGCAGAAGGAUUAAAUCAUUUGCAUGAAUCGAGAAUUAACGCUCUAUUAAAUUUUCAUGUUUUAAUAAAAUUUGAGAGUCACUUGCAACACGUAAUCACUUACUGAAUGUUAUACAAGCGACAAACCUUCCCUUUUUCCCACAGUUUCAAGAGAUACGUUAAAGUUUAAAUUUGCGAAGAAUAAGAAGAAAGAAAAAAACAAAAAAAGAAGUAGAAAAAACAAAGGUAAAGGAUCUCACCUUUUAUUACAGAUGGUCGGACUCAGGGAGAGGAACUUAUAGGGAGAUGAUGUCGAAGGAGGUCCUUUCCUUUCCGUUAAGGGCGAUGACGUCAAAGACAACACGUUCCUUUCCG